rfam:Ovis aries breed Texel chromosome 15, whole genome shotgun sequence.
UCCCUGGCAAUCCAGUGGCUAAGACUGCCUGCUCCCAAUGCAGGGGGCCUGGGUUCAAUUCCUAGUCAGGGAA